rnacentral:rRNA from 1 species
AUUGAACGCUGGCGGCAGGCCUAACACAUGCAAGUCGAACGGUAACAGGAAACAGCUUGCUGUUUCGCUGACGAGUGGCGGACGGGUGAGUAAUGUCUGGGAAACUGCCUGAUGGAGGGGGAUAACUACUGGAAACGGUAGCUAAUACCGCAUAACGUCGCAAGACCAAAGAGGGGGACCUUCGGGCCUCUUGCCAUCGGAUGUGCCCAGAUGGGAUUAGCUAGUAGGUGGGGUAACGGCUCACCUAGGCGACGAUCCCUAGCUGGUCUGAGAGGAUUACCAGCCACAUUGGAACGGAGACACGGUCCAGACUCCUACGGGAGGCAGCAGUGGGGAAUAUUGCACAAUGGGCGCAAGCCUGAUGCAGCCAUGCCGCGUGUAUGAAGAAGGCCUUCGGGUUGUAAAGUACUUUCAGCGGGGAGGAAGGGAGUAAAGUUAAUACCUUUGCUCAUUGACGUUACCCGCAGAAGAAGCACCGGCUAACUCCGUGCCAGCCGCCGCAGUAA